ensembl:lncRNA
AAUGUAUUGCAUACAUCCAAUACAUGCAAAUCCUCUCCCAUGAGUGAAGGGUUUGAUACACAAGACCUGAUCACAGACCCUCCUCUGUCUUUCGAUCCCCUGUUGCUCUCUGAAAUGUGUAGACUUGUAGUAACACAUCCACCUCAACAGAAAUGUCUUCCUUGAGGUAUUUUGAGAAAUUUAAACAUGAGGGGAGUCUUUGCACUCCACCACCACCUUAGUAAAAAGAACAAAGCAAGCUAAAAAAAAAAGCUUACUGCUUUUGUAAUGGAAAGUAAAAACGGUCCUUUAUAAACUGCAUGUUAACAUGAAUGUACUUGUGAAAGGAAUAUAAGGUUAUAAAAGAGGUUUCUAAAUGCCUCAAAAUGAGGGCCUUUCCUUACUGCAGCUUUCUUUUAUUCAUUUAUCUGCAGUAAUAUGGAGCUAAAUUAGUU